rnacentral:rRNA from 1 species
UACGAAGGGGGCUAGCGUUGCUCGGAAUCACUGGGCGUAAAGCGCACGUAGGCGGCUUUCUAAGUCAGGGGUGAAAUCCUGGAGCUCAACUCCAGAACUGCCUUUGAUACUGGAAAGCUUGAGUCCGGAAGAGGUGAGUGGAACUCCGAGUGUAGAGGUGAAAUUCGUAGAUAUUCGGAAGAACACCAGUGGCGAAGGCGGCUCACUGGUCCGGUACUGACGCUGAUGUGCGAAAAGCGUGGGGAGCAAACAGG